GGCCCAAUGAAAUAGGGGCCGGUUAACGGACUGCAAAUCCGCCUACGCCGGUUCGAUUCCGACCUCGGCCU
rnacentral:tRNA from 1 species